GACAGAGGGGGCAAGCGUUGUUCGGAUUCAUUGGGCGUAAAGGGUGCGUAGGCGGCGCGGUAAGUCGGGUGUGAAAUCUCGGAGCUUAACUCCGAAACUGCAUUCGAUACUGCCGUGCUUGAGGACUGGAGAGGAGACUGGAAUUUACGGUGUAGCGGUGAAAUGCGUAGAUAUCGUAAGGAAGACCAGUGGCGAAGGCGGGUCUCUGGACAGUUCCUGACGCUGAGGCACGAAGGCCAGGGGAGCAAACGGG
rnacentral:rRNA from 1 species